UGCAUGUAUACAUAGAAUUGCUGCAAUAGAGAUUUCUCAAACACUAGAGAUUUUUCAAAUCACGUGGCGGCCAUAUAUAAUGUAUGUAACCCGGCGGAUAAAUGUUUAAGGAAAAAAUGAAAGUGUUUUACAGUAAAUCUGCAGACCAAUCAACAACGAGAACUGAUGUUAUCGUAUUUGUAGCGUACCGACAAAUGAAAAUUACCCUUACAAAUCUUCUGGGGCGCCCGAUUAAGCCCUUAAACGGACCAAAGAAUCCCUCAGAAAAAGUGAUUGUCGGCCAUCUUCAAUUAGAUGACCACUUAGAAGAGAAACAUAUCAUAAAAUUCUGAAGAACACGUUUCCAUUUUUAUGUAUAAGAUAAACAAUAAAAUCAUAUUCACCUCUGCCUCACCCUUUUUAAUAUACAAAAGAAAACUCAAGGGAUUCGUAAAUAAAUUUAUAAUUUUCACCAGAAAAAAUAGGAAAAUAUGCGUUAACAAAGAUGAGCGACAGCUGGGGAACUCACAUGGGGGCGAAGUCCCAAACGUGGCAUUUUUAAACAGAUGUCUCUAUAGUUUUCAUUAUGUUUUUGAGCUAAGUAUCGUGCGUUUGAGCAAUUAUGUGCCAUUUGCUUGGUAAUCUUGUAGAAAUACCGUCGCCAGUGAAUCGCUUAUGGAGAACAGGAUAGCGUCAAGUAAUGUGACAGCAUGCCAACGUAUGAUUGUGUUUUAAGCCCACUGUCAAUGACGUGGAUUAGAGGUUUAGCAAAGUAAAAGGUUGGCGUGCACCGAUCGAUGUAAAACAUUGGGGACUAAGUUUUGUUUUGCAGGAAGAAAUGACAACAUUCAAUAGCAUUAUACGGAUGCUUUUGCUGUGAUACCUUUAGAAAAGUCUAACAUUCAAUGGUUCAGGAUAAAAAAAUGCAGUAUAGAUAUAUAGAAAAAUAUGUACUUUUAAUUUUUUCCGUGUAUUAACCAUGUAUUUUAUGUACCGUCGAAAAGUGAAUUUUGUGUUGUGUUCUUUUCCAAAUAUUCGCACAUUGAAAUUUCAGUGGUAAGCUGUUGUGAGAGGUUUUCAGUUAGACAUUCUUUUUUUCGUAAAUUGUGGUUAGUUGUUCUUAUAAUGCGGCACAGUGGCUAGCGAAAUUUGCGCAUGCAAGCAAGAGCACUUUUUUUGUUUUCCCAAAUUAUUAUAAAGAUAUAACUGACGAUCGCGUUUCUCAACGUCCACCUAUACAUUUCGUCCCGCGACGAUAUGAAUAUAAAUAUCACACCAAAAGCAUCGUCUUCUAAACUCUGAGGUAAUUCAUAAUUCAUCUAGCACCAAUGUUACCGACCAACUCUACCGGCAAUUUUCUCUUGUCAAAACAAAAAAACAGAUAAAUUCUGUCAAAAAAAAUAAUAAAAUUUUUA